ensembl:lncRNA
AAAAUGAACAUACAAACAAUUUACUUGAUAUAUCUCAUUUUUAUGAAAAUAAUUGUAAUAUGUUAUACGAUGAAAGUAAAAGAAACAUAUUUAAAAAAAAACAUGAAAAAAAUGUUAAACAUGUUAAAAAUGUUAAACAUAUUAAAAAUGUUAAACAUAUUAAAAAUGUUAAACAUAUUAAAAAUGUUAAAAAUGAUAAAAAUGAUAAACAUAUUAAUAGAGACAUGUAUAAUACACCGUUAAAUAAAAAGGGAAGUACAAUAUCAGAUAUAAAUAAUAUAACUUCAAGUAUAAACGAUUUGAAGCCAUUUAAUAAGUAUCAUGCGUAUGAUAGUAAUCCAUAUUUCACACAUAUUGGUAAUAAUAAUCAACCUUCUUUAUUAUCAAAUGAUUUAAACCCCCCUAUCCAAUAUUUUAAAAAUAAUAAUAAUAAUAAUAAUAAUAAUAAUAAUAAUAAUAAUAAUAAUAAUAAUAAUAAUAAUAAUAAUAAUAAUAAUAAUAAUAAUAAUAAUAAAAAUAAUAAUAAUAAUAAUAACUUUGAUUAUACAAAAUCUUGGAACACUAAUCCAAAUUUAACUGUAAAUAUAAAUAACAGUCACGAUUUCCGACAGUUUUAUUACAAUUCCAAAAAAAUAAAAGUAGACAAACCAAAAAAAGGGGAAGCAAAAAAGGGGGAAGCAAAAAAGGGGGAAGCAAAAAAGAGGGAACAAAAAAAUGGGGAACAAAAAAAUGGGGAACAAAAAAAUGGGGAACAAAAAAAUGGGAAAAAUAAAAAGAGGGAAGUAAAAAAUGCGAAAAAUAAAAACAAGAAAAUUAAUAAAAUUUCAUCUUUUAAUUGUACUGAUUUGUUAGAAGAAAAAAAUAAUUCCAUCUUAAAUAAUGGAACUGAUAUGAAUAUCGUAGGUAUAUAUGAAUAUCCCUCUUCAUCACACUUAAAAAUAAACAAAGGCUACAAUAGCGAUAGCGACAUUGGUAGUGAUCGCAGAAUCCGUAACGAUCGCAGUAUCGAUAGUGAUCGAAGCAUCGGUAGUAGUCGAAGCAUCGGUAGUGAUAGCGAUGUCGGUAGUAACACCGAUCGUGACAGUAAUAAAAACAACAUUGAAACUAACCGUAAGAUCCACGUCGAGAAUAAUCACAAUCCCGACAUUAACACUAACCUAAACAAAAAUCAGGAUACCUUCCCAUCUGAAAAUUAUAAAAAUAAUACUUUUCAACAAAAUGAUAGAAUUAUAAAAAAUAAAUAUGACCAUACACAGCUGGUUAAAAAAAAUAUGUACAUAUCAUAUAAAAGUGGAGAGACAUAUAAUCAGAAUUUUAAAAACUUAUAUAAUAAGAAUAAUGAUUUAAUAAAUAAUAUGAUUACUACUGAUUCAAACAAUUAUGUUUAUCAAAAAAAAGACAACGAUUAUUACUACAAUGGUAGUGAUAACUCGAUACAUAUCAAUCCACUCUUAAAUAUGAAUAAUAAUUCCUUUGAUAAAAAAAAAAAUAUCUGAUAAUGCAAAAGUGCAUACAGAAAGCUUAUAUAAAUGUAUUGAGUUUAUAAAAAGUGUUGGAAAAAAAAAUUCUGAAAAUAUAAAGAAAGAAUUACUCACUGCUAACAAUAAUAGUAAUAAUGGUAAUAGUAAUAAUAGUAAUAAUGGUAAUAGUAAUAAUGGUAAUAGUAAUAAUAGUAAUAAUGGUAAUAGUAAUAAUAGUAAUAAUGGUAAUAAUGGUAAUAGUAAUAAUAGUAAUAAUGGUAAUAAUAGUAAUAAUGGUAAUAGUAAUAAUGGUAAUAGUAAUAAUAGUAAUAAUGGUAAUAAUAGUAAUAAUGGUAAUAGUAAUAAUGCUAAUAGUAAUAAUGGUAAUAGUAAUAA